GGGGGGAGCAAGCGUUGUUCGGAUUUACUGGGCGUAAAGGGCGCGUAGGCGGCCCCCGCAAGUCGAUUGUGAAAUCUCCGGGGUUAACCCGGAAAGGUCACCCGAUACUGCGGGGGUAGAGUGCAGAAGGGGCAACUGGAAUUCUCGGUGUAGCGGUGAAAUGCGUAGAUAUCGAGAGGAACACCUGCGGCGAAGGCGGGUUGCUGGGCUGACACUGACGCUGAGGUGCGAAAGCUAGGGGAGCGAACGGGAUUAGAUACCCCGGCAGUCCUAGCCCUAAACGAUGAGUGCUUGGUGUGGCGGGUAUCGAUCCCUGCCGUGCCGAAGCUAACGCAUUAAGCACUCCGCCUGGGGAGUACGGUCGCAAGGCUG
rnacentral:rRNA from 1 species